rnacentral:rRNA from 1 species
UACAGAGGGUGCGAGCGUUAAUCGGAGUUACUGGGCGUAAAGGGCGCGUAGGCGGUGAGAUGAGUGUGAUGUGAAAGCCCCGGGCUUAACCUGGGAAGUGCAUCGCAAACGAUUUGACUAGAGUCCAUGAGAGGGUGGCGGAAUUUCCGGUGUAGCGGUGAAAUGCGUAGAGAUCGGAAGGAACGUCAAUGGCGAAGGCAGCCACCUGGCAUGAGACUGACGCUGAGGCGCGAAAGCGUGGGGAGCGAACAGG